GCAUAGAUAUAUCGUAGAACACCGAUUGCGAAGGCAGCUCACUAAGCUAAUAUUGACGCUGAUGGACGAAAGCGUGGGGAGCGAACAGGAUUAGAUACCCUGGUAGUCCACGCCGUAAACGAUGAUCACUCGUUGUGCGCGGUACAUUGUGCGCGACUGAGCGAAAGCAUUAAGUGAUCCACCUGGGGAGUACGUUGGCAACAAUGAAACUCAAAGGAAUUGACGGGGGCCCGCACAAGCGGAGGAACAUGUGGUUUAAUUCGAUGAUACGCGAGGAACCUUACCUGGGCUUAAAUGCAGUUUGACCGAUCUGGAAACGGAUCUUCUCUUCGGAGCAAAUUACAAGGUGCUGCAUGGUUGUCGUCAGCUCGUGCCGUGAGGUGUCGGGUUAAGUCCCAUAACGAGCGCAACCCCUAUCGUUAGUUGCUAGCAGGUAAUGCUGAGGACUCUAGCGAGACUGCCACCGUAAGGUGAGAGGAAGGUGGGGAUGACGUCAAAUCAGCACGGCCCUUACGUCCAGGGCUACACACGUGUUACAAUGGCUAGUACAAAGGGCAGCUACCUGGUGACAGGAUGCUAAUCUCAAAAGCUAGUCUCAGUUCGGAUCGGAGUCUGCAACUCGACUCCGUGAAGUUGGAUUCGCUAGUAAUCGUAUAUCAGCAAUGAUACGGUGAAUACGUUCCCGGGCCUUGUACACACCGCCC
rnacentral:rRNA from 1 species